UAUUGUUGUACUUCUGACCCUCUCCUAACAGGAGAUUGCGACUCUUCAGAAAAAAAUACAGGGAAUGCGAGUCCUAUCUGUCAUUCUAUUUUGUUUUUGUCACUCGUGCAUAAGAGUUUAAGACAUUAUUGGAAACGACGCAAACAACAGGGACUGCGCUGUCAGAGGGGUUGAUAAAAUUCACUUAAGGUACUUUUCAAUUACUGUCCGUUUCGGCUUAAAAGUGGACAAAAUGCGAAUGCUGGGGACCAGGUCAGAACAGCCCACAACGACGACAAGAUGAUGGGCUGUACCCCCUGGAGUGUUUCCAUCUGCCAUCAUUAAGUCCUGAUCUCUAGGAAGACCUAUGCAUUUCAAGUGAAAAAUGAACAAAGUUUCAGGCUGCAAGAAUUGUAGAUAUUUUCUAAUCAACUUGUGAGACUCGAUCCAGGUGUCCAGGCUCAGAGGACCAAGUGGGUUGCAGUAACCAUGUGACAGGAAUGGAUUAGUUCUGACAGAUGAUAAAAUAAACAUAUGAAAAAUUUAGAUUACACAUUGAGAUACUUGUUUGGAGAGACGCAGGCUAUGGAUUUCUGCAUAUACACUCUCUGAGGCUAAGAGAUAAUGGGAACUGCAGCUGCUGGAGAAUCCAAGACAACAAAAUGUGGAGCUGGAUGAACACAGCAGGCCAAGCAGCAUCUUAGGAGCACAAAAGCUGACGUUUCGGGUCUAGACCAUUCAUCAGAGCUGUUUGCUCUGCAACAGUAAAUAAGGCUCUUCAGCUCCCUAUGUACUGCAACAUAAUAGGCUCUUAAAUACAAAACUAUUGUGUAGAUCUUGAGAUCACUCUUUUCACCUGCUCAUUCUAAAUUGGUGCCUUCUCUCUUACUGCUGUCAGAAACAGACGAUCAGUUAGAUCACUAUGGAUUACAUGAAUCUCAUUAUACAGUACUAAACAGGCUGCUGCACAGAUCAAAACGAACAGGUUAGUUACCCACCCUGAAAUCAUUCUUUCCAACUGUAACCAGGGCUCUACAGAUAGCAAUGGAUCUAAUUACAUUUCAUUCCUGGCCUGAGUAGCGGAAACAAAAAGGAUUCACUUUUAAAUAGCACCUUUCGCAAUUCAGGAUGUGUCAAAGUUCUUUACAUCUGAUGAAGUACUUUUGAAAUCUAGUCAUUAUUAUAAAGUAGGGAAUGCAACUGUGAAUUUGUCGUUGGCAAAGUCAUGCAAACGGCAGUAUAAUCAUGACCACAUAAUCUAUUUCAAUAGUGUUGAUUUUUACCUCAAAUAUUGAUCAGCACAGCAGACAGAACACUCCUGUUUCUCUUCAAGAUAGUAUUAAGGAAUAUCUUAGGGCAAGAGCAGAUGGGGCCAGCAUUUCUUACCCGUCCUUAGUUGUCUUGAGAAGGUGAUGGUGAGUUGCCCUUCCUGCAAUCAAUGGGAGCGGGUCAAUCCAUAGUGUUAUUAGGGAUGGAUUUCUAGGAUUUUGACUGAAGUGACAGUGAAGGAGUAUUGGUCUAGAUCCAAGCCAGAAUGGUGUGUGAUUUGGAAGGUGAAAUGACUCCACAGAGGCGGUGUCCUGUCACCUUUAUUUACAUGUCGAGAGUCCUUGACACUGAGGCGCCAAGUGUCAAGGACUUAAGGGGAGGGGAUGGCCUUGUGGUGUUAUCGCUGGACAGUUAAUCCAGAGACCCAGAUAACAUUUUGGGGACCUGGGUUUGAAUCUGGCCAUGGCAGAUGGUGGAAUUUUAAUUCAAUAAAUAUCUGGAAUUAAGAAUCUACUGAUGACCGUGAAUCCAUUGCCAAUUGUUGGAAAAACCCAUCUGGCACACUAAUGUCCUUUAGGAAAGGAAACUGCCAUCCUUACCUGGUCUGACCUACAUGUGAUGCCAGACCCGCAGCAAUGUGGUUGACUCUUAACUGCCCUCUGGGCAAUUAGGGAUGACCAAUAAAUGCAGCAUAGCCAUCGAUGCCCUCAGUCCAUGAAUGAAUAAAGAGAAAAAAUCCAGCUCCCUCAGAGCCAGCUGUCAGUGCGAACAGGAUGUCUGACAUGCCUGUAUUUAUCUGUCAGCCAGGGCUCCCUGACUGAGCUAGGUUACCAGCCCCAAAUAGAUUCUAAAUCUAUGAAGUCCACCUGGUUGACCUCGUUACAAUCACUACAGGAGGGACUUGCGAGUGGCGGCGGUACCCAUGCAUCUGCAGCUGUUGUGGUUUAAAAGAUAAAUUCACCAUUUUCUUACCAGUCCAUAGGGCUGCUCUCUCAUUAUGGAGAGGUGACUGUGGGAGUUUAAUCUGAGGGUUACUGUGCCCUGGACAAAGAAAGAGGUUGAGAAGGUGAGUCCUUCAUCUUGUGGUAGAGACCACGGAAACCGUUGUCAAAGGAUGUUGCCUUACAGGUCAACAGCACACACUUCACAUAACUAUACAUCAACUCCAAUUAGUAAUCAAAGAAGAAGAAGGAGAAAAAUAUUUUUAACCCUUUCAGAAGUGCAUCAUAAUUUAGGCUCAUCCUAAUCUGCAGGUGUGGUUGCCUCAAUCUAUGAAGGUGAGAGAUCAUUGCAUUCAACCACACUGCUACACCCACAAUUACAACUGAUACUGAAAGAUCAGUAAAAUGAUAUCUCUGUAUUUAAAGACAUAUACAUUAUUAAAAAGGUGCGGGUACAUUUUUGGAGUGAAACCAUGCGACCGCUCAAUAGAUUAUUGCUUUAAGUAAAACAAGGAAUGUGAGUACCAACAUAAUAGGCAUACAAAGUAAGAUAAUACUGAUCAGAAAACAUAUUUUGUACAGAUAAUUAUUCUUGAAGUCUGAACAUAAUAAAUGGAGGUUUUUUUUGAAAUGUCUAAUAGAGAUAUUGUGAGGCUGUAGUA